AGUGGCCGAAGGUGACUUUUCUGGACUGAUACUGACGCUGAGGUACGAAAGCGUGGGUGAGCAAACAGGAUUAGAUACCCUGGUAGUCCACGCCCUAACCGAUGAGAACUAGCUGUUGGGGGAUUAUAUUCUCUUAGUAGCGAAGCUAACGCGAUAAGUUCUCCGCCUGGGGAGUACGACCGCAAGGUUAAAACUCAAAGGAAUAGACGGGGACCCGCACAAGUGGUGGAGCAUGUGGUUUAAUUCGAAGAUACGCGAAGAACCUUACCUAGCCUUGACAUUGAUUGAACGGACCAGAGAUGGACCGGUGCCCUUCGGGGAACAUGAAAACAGGUGCUGCACGGCUGUCGUCAGCUCGUGUCGUGAGAUGUUGGGUUAAGUCCCGCAACGAGCGCAACCCUCGUCUUUAGUUGCCAGCAGGUUAAGCUGGGCACUCUAAAGAGACUGCCUUCGUAAGGAGGAGGAAGGUGAGGACGACGUCAAGUCAUCAUGGCCCUUAUGGCUAGGGCUACACACGUGCUACAAUGGGGCGUACAGAGAGUUGCGAUACCGCGAGGUGGAGCCAAUCUCAUAAAGCGUCUCUCAGUUCGGAUUGAAGUCUGCAACUCGACUUCAUGAAGCUGGAAUCACUAGUAAUCGUAGAUCAGCAAUGCUACGGUGAAUACGUUCCCGGGUCUUGUACUCACCGCCCGUCACACCAUGGGAGUUGAUUUCACCCGAAAUUGGGAAGCUAACCUUCGGGAGGCUACCACUUACGGUGGAAUUAGCGACUGGGGUGAAGUCGUAACAAGGUA
rnacentral:rRNA from 1 species